AACGGCUAAAUGAGGACUUAGCUGUCUCUUGCACUUUACUAAUGAAACUGAUCUCUUAGUCCAAAAGCUAAGAUUCCACCACAAGACGAGAAGACCCUGUGGAGCUUAAAACCAAACUCAAACCAUGAACCCCUGGUUUUUAGUUGGGGCGACUUCGGAGCACAAAAAACCCUCCGACACGGAACUUAACCUAAUUAGAUCAACACAUCAACUAAUUCAUGACCCAGCAGUUUAUUUAGCUGCCUGAUCAAUGAACCAAGUUACCCCAGGGAUAACAGCGCCAUCCUCUUUUAGAGUUCCUAUCGACAGGAGGGUUUACGACCUCGAUGUUGGAUCAGGAC
rnacentral:rRNA from 1 species